UUCGGGGCGAAGAUAAGAUGGAUUAGCGGCGGACGGGUGAGUAACACGUGAGUAACCUGCCUUAGACAUUGGGAUAGCCUCGGGAAACCGGGAUUAAUACCAAAUGAAAUCACAUAUGCACAUGCAUAAAUGAUCAAAGCUCCGGCGGUCUAAGAUGGACUCGCGUCCCAUUAGCUAGUUGGUGAGGUAACGGCCCACCAAGGCGACGAUGGGUAGCCGGCCUGAGAGGGUGAACGGCCACAUUGGAACUGAGAAACGGUCCAAACUCCUACGGGAGGCAGCAGUGGGGAAUAUUGCACAAUGGAGGGAACUCUGAUGCAGCGACGCCGCGUGAACGAAGAAGGCUUUCGAGUCGUAAAGUUCUUUUAUAUGGGAAGAUAAUGACGGUACCAUAAGAAAAAGCCCCGGCUAACUACGUGCCAGCAGCCGCGGUAAUACGUAGGGGGCUAGCGUUGUCCGGAAUCACUGGGCGUAAAGGGUUCGCAGGCGGAAAUGCAAGUCAGGUGUAAAAGGCAGUAGCUUAACUACUGUAAGCAUUUGAAACUGCAUAUCUUGAGAAGAGUAGAGGUAAGUGGAAUUUUUAGUGUAGCGGUGAAAUGCGUAGAUAUUAAAAAGAAUACCGGUGGCGAAGGCGACUUACUGGGCUCAUUCUGACGCUGAGGAACGAAAGCGUGGGUAGCAAACAGGAUUAGAUACCCUGGUAGUCCACGCUGUAAACGAUGAGUGCUAGGUAUCGGAAUAAUUCGGUGCCGCAGUUAACACAUUAAGCACUCCGCCUGGGGAGUACGUGCGCAAGCAUGAAACUCAAAGGAAUUGACGGGGACCCGCACAAGCAGCGGAGCAUGUGGUUUAAUUCGAAGCAACGCGAAGAACCUUACCAGGGCUUGACAUACUGAGGACCGGUAUAGAGAUAUACCCUCUUCUUCGGAAGCCUCAAUACAGGUGGUGCAUGGUUGUCGUCAGCUCGUGUCGUGAGAUGUUCAGUUAAGUCUGGCAACGAGCGCAACCCCUAUCUUUAGUUACCAGCAUUUCGGAUGGGGACUCUAAAGAGACUGCCGAUGAUAAAUCGGAGGAAGGGGGGGGAUGACGUCAAAUCAUCAUGCCCUAUAUGCCCUGGGCUACCACGUGCUACAAUGGAAGAAACAAAGGGAAGCGAAUAAGGGUUUUAACCAACCUCAAAAGUCUUUCCCGUUCCGAUUGACUCUGCA
rnacentral:rRNA from 1 species